AUAUGAUGGAUAAAAUAAUUAUUAAAACACUCGCCUUCGAAGAAACUUGGAAUUUUAUCAGUACCGAACUGGUAGAACGCAAUUUUUCUAAGGCGGAAUUAUACAUUCGAUAUCACGUGUCCAAAGAUGGUUGGCUAGGAGCGCUGGAUGAGCACAACAAUGUAAUCGAUUCGGAGAAGGCUUGUAUUGGUUGGUAUUAUGUAAAAAAUCAAUAUCGAGGCAAAGGUUUUGGGAGACUCAUGUACAAUAAAAUGAUGGGUUAUUUGGGAAACAGAAUUAUUAGCUUAAACGCUUCGCCAAAAAUGUUGAAUAAUUACCUGCAGAACGGUAUGACGGGACCUUAUUUUAGAGUAUCAGUAUAUCAGACUAAAAAAAAGCUAAAUAGUCUUUUGAAGACUUUUCUAACGAAUCCACCAUUUUCUAAGUCCCUUUUAACAGAAUAUAAAAUAAUAUCCGCCCGCGACGUAGCGUUUUACGCCCUUUGCGAAUAUGAUACUCAAGUCCACGGAAACGUAGCCAGAGAAACAUAUUUGCGAGACACGAUUGAUGCAGAAAUUUGUGAAGGUAAAAGUUAUGAAAAGGACACUUACGUAUGUUUACGAAACAAAUUCAAUAAAGGCGUAGAAUCGACACCGUCAAAUUAUUCUGAUUACGAGAUAGUCGGAUAUGGCGUAUUAAUUCGUAAACAUUACGGUUUUUCCAUUGCCCCCUAUACGCUGAUACACCGGAAAUAGCUCUUGCCUUGACUUGGAAAUUGCUUUAUCAAUUAUAUUUAAAAUCCAAUCCCACAGAUAACCCAAAUUUAAGUGUAUCCGAAAUUAUUGAAUUUACCCAGGAGGUUAAAUAUGAUUUGAGUCUACAGCAUGGUGAGGACCCUGAUUCUGAAUUCAUGAUAACUUUUUGCGAAGAGUUUGCAGACUAUGAAAAUAUUGAAUGUUUAAAAGUCAGGAAAGAUAUUGAACUCAAUAAUGAAUACUUGAACUUUACCAGUGCGUAUAGAAACAUUAUGUUAAAAAAUUUUAACAUGGAAAAGAAAUUGGAAUAUUAUAGAUUAUACGACAAGCGAUACUUAAGAUUACCAUUAAAUAAAGUAUAUUCGAUAGUAAAUGCAGAUGCUUUUCUAUUAUAAUGUGAUAGCAAAACUAUAAUAAAAAAAAUUUAAUAUCUAUUUCUAGAUUAUAUAUUAUCUAAUAAUGGAUUAAUAUCUCUAACUUGUCUUACCUUUUUCUUGUUAAUCUAUUUAUGGACCCAAUAAAAUAAGAUGAUUAUCUUAAACUACCAGCCCUCUGCCGAGGAGAGUGUAGCGUGGUAAUCAUCAAUAGCACGGAAUCAAAGAUAGCCAUGAAUCACAAAGCAUGGGAUAUCAAAGUUUUAUAUAAAAAAAAAAAAUUUAAAUUUAAAAAAAUUUAAUGUAUCGGCCAUAAGAUAAAUGAAUGUUAUUAUCAAUAGCUUAUUUAUUUAGCAGGAACAAUGAUAGGAUAAAAAUCAAAGGAAUAUUUACUAAUAUUAUUCAGAAGAGUAAGUAUAUUGAGGAUAAAGACGAAUGUUUGUUCGGGUAACCAAUCCUCAAGUUAUUUAUUUUUUUAAAAGGUAGGAAGAUAUAUUUAUGAAUUAGAUAUAUAUAUAAUAUUAUUAAAAUUAAUAAAUAUAUCAUACCACACGUAUCGUUCUUUUGUGAUUUGUGCAAAAUUUAGAAAUAAAUGGGAAUAUUGUGCCUGAGAUUACCAAUAUAGGUAAAAAGGUAGGAUCCCUUAAGAAAGGACAUAUAUAAUUUUAAAUUAAAUAAUAUAAAUAAUCAUACCAUGUAUUUAUGAAUUUUACCGAAAUAAUCAGCAUGAAUAAAAUUAAAUAUUAUUACUGAGAGACCAAUUUUAACAAAAAAAAAAAUAGGAUCCCUUGUGAAUAGAUAUAGAAUAAUAUUUAAAUAUUUAACAAAAUAUAUAGUAUAACAACCAUGUAUUAAAUGUAAAUAUCCUAUUUAAAUAGUAAAAAAUAGAAAAAAACCCCAUAAUCGUUUUUUUUUAAAAUAUGUUACAAAAUUUUCUUAUGUUGUUAGCUACCGUGCUUAGAGAUCUACAAAUAGGCCCGGCCCGAACCCAGCCCGGCCCAAACGGGCUUAGGGCCGGGCUAAAAUAUAUCUAAAUUUAUCAAUUUUAUAUUGAAGUAUUUAUGUAAAAUAAAAACACUCGAUUUUAUUUAUAGAAAUUAUGCCAUUAAACAUAUGCCCUUUUAUUCUGAGUAAUUAUAAAAAUUAAUUUCUAUAUUUAAAUAAAUUCGGGCCGGGUUGGGAGGGCAAAACUUUUUUAAAAAAAUUUCGAGUUCGGGCCGGGCCGGCAAAAUAUUUUUAAAUAAUUUCCGGCCGGACCGGUUUUCUCCCCUGUAACAAUCCCCCCCCCCCCAACUGUUGUAUUUAUUUUUGACGGUGGAUGCUCUCUACUUUAAACUGCGUUUAUAAUUUAAUACCCCUUUAAUUGAAUUUUCUUUGAUCUUGCGGAAACGUGCGAAAUGAAGAUUUUCAUCCACGUCGAUCUUAUAUUCAAACGAAUUUAUUUCCUUACGACAACAUCCUCGGUUGUCCAAAUUUUUGGUAUUAAAAAAUGUUGAAAGUUUAUGGAAACAUACAUUUAUUUUUAAAAAUGUUUACCCAAAUAAUUUUAAAUAACUAAUAAAAGUUGGAAAAAUUUUAACCUUCCCACCCUCCCAUGCCAGCCCGUGUCCGUUCGCCCACUUUGCUGGGAACCUUGGGCUGACUAAAACCCAGCCCGCUGCAGACCCCUAAUUUAGAUUAGGGUUAAUAUAAUAUUAAAUAACAAUGGCUUAAUAGCUACCUACUUAUCUAAAAGUGAUUAAUUUCUUUUUACCUAUUAUAGCCAUUAUUUAUUAUACAAAUUUCGUAACACGCACCUUAUUAUUUAUAUAAUAAAUAUUUAAAUCAAUUUAAUUUAUUUACAUUUAUUUUAAAAUUUCAAUUUUCAUGGUUAAAAUAAUUAUUAAAAAACUGGCUUUCGAAGAAAUUUGGAAUUUUAUUAGUACUGAACUCGUAGAACGCAAUUUUUCUAAGGCGGAAUUAUACAUUCGAUAUCACGUAUCCAAAGAUGGUUGGCUAGGAGCACUGGAUGAGCACAACAAUUGAUAUAUUGUAAACAAUUUUUGGAAGAGAGGGAGAUGGAUUAGGAGAAAGAAUUUUAUUGGCUUGAAAUUGAUAAUUACUAGAUUAGGCAAAUUUCAGAAGGGAUGAUAAGUGAAUAUCAUGGUCUUAUAUAUAAUUUAACUCUAAAUUCGGAGAAGGCUUGUAUUGGUUGGUAUUAUGUAAAGAAAGAAUAUCGAGGCAAAGGUUUGGGGAUAAUCAUGUACAAUAAAAUGAUGGGCUAUUUGGAAAACAGAAUGAUUAGCUUAAACAUUUCGCCAAGUAUGUUAAAUACUUACCUGCAGAACGGUAUGACGGGACCUUAUUUUUAAGGUAAUAUUUAACAUCCAUGUUUUUUUUCAAAAAAAAAUUUAAUUCAUUACAAAAAAUAAUAAUUUUAGUAUCAAUAUAUAAGACUGAUCAGACUAAAAAAAUGCUAAAUAGUCUUUUGAAGUCUUUUCUAACGAAUCCACAAUUUUCUAAGUCUCUUCCACCAGAAUACAAAAUUAUGUCCGCCCGCGACAUAGUGUUUUGCGUCCUUUGCGAAUAUGAUAUUCAUGUUCACGGAAAUGUGGCCAGAGAAUAUUUGCGUGACACGAUUGGUGUAAUAAUUUGUGAAGGUGAAAGUUAUGAAAACGAUGCUUACGUAUGUUUACGAAACAAAUUCAAUAAGGAUCGUUGUCAUCAAAUUAUUCUGAUUAUGAGAUAGUCGGAUAUGGCGUAUUAAUUCGUAAACAUUACGGUUUUUCAAUUGCCCCCCUAUACGCUGAUACACCGGAAAUAGCUUUUGCCUUAACUUGGAAAUUGCUUUAUCAAUUAUAUUUAAAAUACAAUCCUAAAAAUAACCCAAAUUUAAGUGUAUCCGAAAUUAUCGAAUCUACACAAGAAGUUAAAUUUUGAUCAACAGUGUGGUGAGGACCCUACUGGAUUUAUGAUAACUUUUUGCGAAGAGUUUGCAGACUAUGAAAAUAUUGAAUGUUUAAAAGUCAGGAAAGAUAUUGUACUCAAUAAUAAAUACCUGAACUUUACCAGUGCGUGUAGAAACAUUAUGUUAAAAAAUUUUUAAAUGGAAAAGAAAAUGGAAUCUUAUAGACUAUACGACAAACAAUACAUAAGAUUACCAUUAAAUAAAGUAUAUUCAACUGUAAAUACAGAUGCUUUUCUAAUAUAAGGUGUAAACUAAAAUAGGAAUUCAAUAUCUAGAUUAUAUACUAUCAUCAAUAAUAUCUUUAUCUUAUUUUUUCUUGUUAAUCUAUUUAUGGACCCAAUAAAAUAAGAUAAAUUUUAAUAGCAUGAUUAAAUAUGGACAAGAAAUCAUAAAA